AUGGCCAGGCAGUCAAGGGCAUGGGCCCUGGAGCUAAUCUGUCCAGAUAGGGUUCAGAUCCCAGCACUGCCUCUCACUG
rnacentral:miRNA from 1 species